CAAGUACACAUUUUCUACAUUUUUCAAGCAGAAGAAGUAAAACCUUUAAAAGGCAAAAGCACAAAGCAAGAAGAGGCUGGGAAGGAAGUGGUCUCUCUCCAGCUCUCCUGUGUUUUUCUUCUCCUCCCUAAUAGCCUGAAGGAAGAUAUAGUCAAAAUAAAACAAUUUCAUAUUAAACUAACACAUAGAUGGAAUUAAUUCCUUCCCAGAUGGUCUGAGGGACCUGGCUGUUGCAGUGUGCCCAGAAAAUGCUAGAUUCAAGGUGAUUUUCUCUCCCUCAGCCGCUCAGAGAAUUGUAAACAGCUUCAGCCUCAUGAUUUGUUUUAAUCUGCUAUUGAACGCAGAUAAAAUUAGAACCGUCUUCCACUUGACAUAAACGUCGCUCAGGAAGAGUCACCAGGUUUUUUCGCCGAAGGAAUAUCUGGGUUGUUUUUGUUUUGUUCAAAAUGGUAAUAUUUAACUAGUGUGUAACCAGCUACAAGUUCUGAGGUCAGGAACCCCAUGGCCGUAAAAAAGAAAAAAAAAAAAAAAUCAGUGUUUAAACUAAUCUUGCCCUUGUUCUCUCCCAGUGAUCUUGUGUCGAUAAGCACAAGUACCAGAGAGUAAAACAAAUGAUUUGUGUGUUCCUGGCAAAUAAUUUUUUGAGCUUCAAAAAAUCAAAAACACGUUGCCUGUUGCUUUUUAGGAAUACCUUGUAAACUGGACGGGAGGGGGUGGUGCAGGAAAUACAGUUUCAUUGACCCUUGGAAAACUGGAGGUUAGUCGAGGUGCAGUCAGCUCUGCCCUGUCAGGGCAGGUGCCGCUCGACAGGAGGGUGAAUCUCAAGGUGAGGCUUCAGGUGCUUGGUCACCUGUGAAGACACAGGGGCCCCCUGACAGUUGUGACAGGUGCGGUGAGGUAAUGAAGCAGACAGGUCAGUUGUGCAGACAGGACCUAGCCCCCCUCCACCACCACCCCCUUGCCCCCUGCAGCCUGGCCAGCUCCCGAUCUGCCGCCCCCAUGUCCACGUUUCAGUCCCAUCUGGAGGACCCUCUCCCUUUUUAGGAUGUUUUCUCUCCUUUAAACACACCCUGCUGGCCCACUCAGCAGCAUUACCGGGGACCCAUUUGUCAUUUUCGCUCACAAAGCAAAAAGUUAACCAAAGUCUGGACCAGAGAAGCCUCCCCCCUGCCCCCGCCAGGCUCCUUUGUCACCUCAACAGCCCAGACCAUGGGACAUCUUUAUUCACACCCCACAAAGGCCAGGCGACCGCGCGUGCAACCUCACGCCCGAUUCCAGACGCAGCUGCAUUUAGGUGUGUGAGAGUGUUGGAGAUUUUUUUUUUUUUAUUGUUUCCAUCCUCGUUUUCUGUUUUCGCAGGGAAACUACGGUCCCUUUUGCAGCACUGGGGCCGGCCAGCCGGGGUUUAUGCCCCGUGUCCGAGUCUCUGUGGUGGGAAUAGACCCAUUCAGACAAGGCCUAACAGAUACGUGGGGCCAGCCCACCCCCCAGCCAGGGAGGACACAGUAAAGGAAUUCAAAGCGAUGAUUACCCUUCCAGAAUGCCCCUGUUGACAUUUUCCAAAAUGAAGUCACGCCCGCAGCCCGAAAGAACCCGCAGAGGAAGAGGUAAGCGGUGAAAGCCGACGGCCCCCGGCCCCCUCCCCGCCCGAGUCCUCACCGCCAGCCACAGAACACGCGGGGGCUCGGGCUCGCGGCCGGCACCCCACACCCCCGAACAGGCCCUUCACCCCCCCUCCCCCAGGCCUUGGUGUCUUCAUCCGCAAAGGGGGCCAAAAGGUAAUACCCACCUCCCGGGCCUUCGAAGGACCCGGUGAGUUACGGGCACACACGCACCCAGAGGAGGGCUCCCGACAGGUACUAGCAGUUCUGGCGAAUUCGCCCACGGAGCGCAUCACCGUCUAUUUCUAACCCUUUUUGAAACGCAAGAUGUAUCAGACUUUGGCGUCUCGCUUUCUUUGCCUUGUUUAUUUUAGAGCUCCGUCCAUCCCAGCACAUGUGGGCAGACAUACCUCCCUCUUGAUUAGGAGCCUUCGGAUCCACGGGCCCACCCUCCCCCGGUCACCGAUACCAAGGGACAGGGGAGUUAGAGGCCUAGAAGUGUCGAUUCCGGCCCAAGCUGUGUACGCAUUUUCGGUUUGGCCGGAUUUACACUUCUAUCGACGAGGAUGAACGUCCCAUCUCCGAAAACCCGCUAGCCCUGGGACCGCUGUGGUCUGGGCAGUUUCCAGUCUGGCUCGAGGUCGCCACCUCGGGGACAGCCUGGCGAGGCAUCGCGGGACCACAGAGCCACAGUGAUGAGGCAGAGACACAGAGACGGGGAGUGGGCUCCAGGGCUGAGGGACGUCUCAGGGACCCCAGGGGGAGGGGCAGGAGCCACAGCGGCAGCCGGUUCCUCGGUGACCCUCAGGCCCUGCCUGGUAUUCGCCUCCUAGGACAUUUGAUAGAAUGAAUGCCGGCCUUUUGGCCGGGACAUUAUCAGCCAGCUUUUCCCUCUGCAGCCCCGGGGCUGGCUGGGACGCCCGCCUCGGCCCCUUUCGGGGGAGGGGGUGCC
rnacentral:lncRNA from 1 species